ACCAGGACUAAACCAGGACUAAACCAGCACUAAACCAGGACUAAACCAGCACUAAACCAGAACUAAACCAGGACUAAACCAGGUCUAAACCAGGACUAAACCAGAACUAAACCAGGACUAAACCAGGACUAAACCAGCACUAAACCAGAACUAAACCAGGACUAAACCAGAACUAAACCAGGACUAAACCAGGACUAAACCAGGACUAAACCAGAACUAAACCAGGACUAAACCAGAACUAAACCAGGACUAAACCAGCACUAAACCAGGACUAAACCAGAACUAAACCAGGACUAAACCAGGUCUAAACCAGCACUAAACCAGAACUAAACCAGGACUAAACCGGGACUAAACCGGGACUGAACCGGGACUAAACCGGGACUAAACCAGGUCUAAACCAGGACUAAACCAGGUCUAAACCAGGACUAAACCAGGUCUAAA
ensembl:lncRNA